rnacentral:rRNA from 1 species
CCUACGGGCGGCAGCAGUGAGGAAUAUUGGUCAAUGGACGCAAGUCUGAACCAGCCAUGCCGCGUGCAGGAAGACGGCUCUAUGAGUUGUAAACUGCUUUUGUACGAGGGUAAACGCAGAUACGCGUAUCUGUCUGAAAGUAUCGUACGAAUAAGGAUCGGCUAACUCCGUGCCAGCAGCCGCGGUAAUACGGAGGAUUCAAGCGUUAUCCGGAUUUAUUGGGUUUAAGGGGUGCGCAGGCGGCGUGUCAAGUCAGCGGUAAAAUGGCGGGGCUCAACCCCGGCCGGCCGUUGAAACUGGCGUGCUCGAGUUGGAGAGAAGUAUGCGGAAUUCGUGGUGUAGCGGUGAAAUGCAUAGAUAUCACGAAGAACCCCGAUUGCGAAGGCAGCAUACCGGCUCCACACUGACGCUGAGGCACGAAAGCGUGGGUAUCGAACAGGAUUAGAUACCCCGGUAGUC